GGCGAUUGCUUCAAGGGGCACAAUCACCAUAAAUCUAGGAUAACACACUAGUCUAUUCAAAAUAAUUUUUUAAAGCACUGUUCUGUUAAUGAUGUCUUUGUUUUAUUUCAUCCGGCUCAGACCAUUCUAGACUGGCUAAGUUUUUCUUUUGUUUAUAGAAGGCGAUUCGAAGCCGUAAGUCUCAGAAAGUCAUCAGGACUUUUGUUUCUGUGGAGAUGCAGCUCAAAUGCAGACGGCUGAGUACACAAGUGUAAGCUGCAAAUGAUGCACAGGAUUCCUUCAUUAGCUACAGGAUUCAGUUCUCAAACUUGCACUUCCUGGAAAACAGCUCAGUUUUACUUACUUGUGUCACAUAUUACAAAUGGUUAUUGUGAGAAUUGAAUGUUGUUUCUGCAUCAGAACAAAAUAAGAAUUUUGUUAACUUCAUGGUCUUUACCGUUUGGGGUUUUUGUUUUAUAGUUCGUUUCAGGGGCCUUACUACUUUAUUAGAGUUCUAUAAGUUAAAGUAAUAUGUAUGUAUAUAUGUAUAGCCAACAUUGAGAAUAUAUGUCACACAUUGCAACAGUAUUCUGCCAAUUUAAAAAAAGGACAAUUCACUACAUGAUACGGGGAAUGCCUGGAGAAGAUCGGACAUCUCCCCUCCCCUCCGUACUCUUGUUUAACAAGAAUUCCAAGCAAAUCACCUUAUCAAUAGGACAAGAAGAGCACUGAACACCAGAUAACGAUCCAAUUAAAUCCUCUGAUAAGAUUGUGAACCCGGAGUACCCAGCAAGUGGGGAAAUGGGGGAGAAGGGGGAGGUAAGGGAGAGAAAAAGGGUAUAAAAGUUGUCAUGCUGUAUCCAUAGGUGCGCUCCUGCUUGCGGGACGCCCGCCAUUGCAAUCGCGAAUAAAAUCUGCUUUUAUCAGAGAUACCGUCCUGGCAAAAUUAUUCGGAUAUUUCCAACAGUUAUCGCUCAGCCAUAUCGCUAUCUUCGUUUUUUCCCUAAAAAGACGUGGCCUUGAAAUACUACAAGUGCCCUACAUCAAUCCAAAGGAGACUUAAAAAAGAAAUCAUAGUUACGAAAGCUAAAUAUUGUGCUCAAACCCUUCCUAGCAACAUGUUUCUAGGUGACAUUUGGCACUGGGUACAGUUUAGGGUAACAACAAGCAAGGACAGAACAUGACAUAAUGCAGGACAUUGUUGGUAUCCAGCUCCAAACUCUGCAGGUAAUGGCUCUGAGAUGAAACUAGAAAGCAUCAGAAUGACAAGCAGUACAAGGGGAGUAAAUCACAGUUUCAGGAUUCCCUGUAGUUACUGAGAAAACUGAAC
rnacentral:lncRNA from 1 species